rnacentral:rRNA from 1 species
CCUACGGGAGGCAGCAGUGGGGAAUAUUGGACAAUGGGCGAAAGCCUGAUCCAGCAAUGCCGCGUGAGUGAUGAAGGCCUUAGGGUUGUAAAGCUCUUUUACCAGGGAUGAUAAUGACAGUACCUGGAGAAUAAGCUCCGGCUAACUCCGUGCCAGCAGCCGCGGUAAUACGGAGGGAGCUAGCGUUGUUCGGAAUUACUGGGCGUAAAGCGUACGUAGGCGGUUAUUCAAGUCAGAGGUGAAAGCCCGGGGCUCAACCCCGGAACUGCCUUUGAAACUAGAUAGCUAGAAUCUUGGAGAGGUUAGUGGAAUUCCGAGUGUAGAGGUGAAAUUCGUAGAUAUUCGGAAGAACACCAGUGGCGAAGGCGACUAACUGGACAAGUAUUGACGCUGAGGUACGAAAGCGUGGGGAGCAAACAGGAUUAGAUACCCUGGUAGUCCACGCCGUAAACGAUGAUAACUAGUUGUUCGGGCACUUGGUGCCUGAGUGACGCAGCUAACGCAUUAAGUUAUCCGCCUGGGGAGUACGGUCGCAAGAUUAAAACUCAAAUGAAUUGACGGCUGAGACGNGCGAGACGACACGAGGAGAG